rnacentral:rRNA from 1 species
AGCAGCCGCGGUAAUUCCAGCUCCAAUAGCGUAUAUUAAAGUUGCUGCAGUUAAAAAGCUCGUAGUUGAAUUUCGGGACUAAUAUGUCGGUCGUGCCUCGGUACGUACUGGUUUAUUGGUUUCUCCUUUCUGAAGAACCAUGAUGUCAUUUAUUUGGUGUCGUGGGGAAUCAGGACUGUUACUUUGAAAAAUUAGAGUGUUUAAAGCAGGCUCACGCUUGAAUACAUUAGCAUGGAAUAAUGAAAUAGGACGUUUGAUUCUAUUUUGUUGGUUUCUAGGAUCGACGUAAUGAUUAAUAGGGAUAGUUGGGGGCAUUAGUAUUCAAUUGUCAGAGGUGAAAUUCUUGGAUUUAUUGAAGACUAACUACUGCGAAAGCAUUUGCCAAGGAUGUUUUCAUUAAUCAAGAACGAAAGUUAGGGGAUCGAAGACGAUCAGAUACCGUCGUAGUCUUAACCAUAAACUAUACCGACUAGGGAUCGGAUGAUGUUAAUU